CCAAAAUGAAACGUUCGAGUGACUCGGAGUUCAGCGGCACCGCCACCUACUGGCUUGGAGGAAAAUUGCAAGUAUCAAUCAAAACAAUCGAUCCAAACCAUGGUUGGUUCUCAACUAGUUAUUCAGGAUAACAACCUAACCGUCGUAGAUUUAGUUCAAUCAUUCAAGAACAUUGAAGUAGUCACCAUCGUAGCACAUUAUGUUGUUAAAAACAAAGUGGCAUCAGUGUUUCAGAGCGGAUCUAUCCAUCAGAGCGGAUCUAAAUGGAUCUUCCUCACGCUGGAGGGAUAACUGUACUCAACUUUUUUGUCCAUCAGAGAGGAUCUAAACAGAUCUAUCCAUCAGAGCGGAUCUAAAUGGAUCUUCCUCAUGCUGGAGGGAUAACUCAACUUUUUUGUCCGUCAGAAUGGAUCUAAACGGAUCUAUCCAUCAGAGCGGAUCUAAAUGGAUCUUCCUCACAUGGAGGGAUAACUGUACUCAACUUUGUUGUCCGUCAGAAUGGAUCUAAAUGGAUCUACCCAUCAGAGCGGAUCUAAAUGGAUCUUCCUCACGCAUGGAGGGAUAACUGUAAAAACAUUUGUCAAGCAGUUGUGCGUUUAAACAGUACCCUUACAGACAAAUCUUCCUGGACUAACUCUGUCAGAGAUCCAUCCAGGGAUAGCAAAUGCAUACUUCCUAUUUCUCCCAGCUCUUUCAACCAGAGAGCAAGAUUUAAAAUGCAUUAAAAAUCAGAAAUAAAAAGAUGAUACAUAAAAGAUUGAUAGCCUACAGUGGCUAAUUCAAAAGCUUGUUAUGUUGAGAAUGUCAGAAUUAGCUGAACAAUAUGCAUAAUAUAUACAAUAUGUGUUAUAUUGGUGUUCUCCAAGAUAGAUAGAUAAAUUGAUUGAUUGAUUGAUAAACCAAAAGUAAUGGUGGUCUAUCGGUAUUGCCUGUGUAAGCAGUGCAGUGAAGCAACAAGUCCUUUACAUCCCUCAUCAACAUUUAUUGUUUACCUCUUUAAUUAGAUCCUGAGCAAUGUAGUCAGAAUGUUGACCUGCCUUAAGCUGUGGCUUUAGGAAAAUAGAAACAGAUCCCCCCCAACCUGUCCCCCCUUCUUCAUCUACCUCAAAAACAAAGUGGUCAACUUCAGUAGCCCACAGCCCUAUACACAACCCACUCUGAUCCAGACUUUUUUGAGAAUAUGGAAGAGGAGACGCUGCUCAGCUUUCUACCACCCACCGUGUGACCACCUGCCCUCUCGAUCCAAAAUAUCUUCUCUGAUCUUGUACCAUACUUUAUCUCUGUCAUCAGUACAUCUUUGACCAGAAGCUCUGUCCCAUUAGACUUCAUAAAGGGAUAUUUCAUCCAAAAAUAAAAAUUCUGUCAUCAUGUACUCAAGCA